UGCGACAGUAUGUUAGCUCACCUGACCUCUCUCCUCAAGAACAUCAAUACACAUCAGAAGAACUAAGACAAGCUGAAAUGUAUGGUACUAUCACUCGUCGUAGGAGCACUAAGAGAUCUUUGUCAUACCACCAGGAGGGGACAGUGCAUGCUAAUACAUUAACUGAGCCUCCUUUGUCUUCCUCUCGUCAGCCUACUGCAGCACUGACGAUCCCACAAAACAGAAAACCUUCAAAAUGAGAUGAUCAAGUCUGCAUUAAAACAUAGCCAAGUUGAUAGCAUUCUCAUAACUUGUGUAUUAUAGUGUACAGAUAGAUUAUUUAUUAACUUUUAAGAAAAUUUUAAUCAUG